rnacentral:rRNA from 1 species
GUGGGGAAUAUUGCACAAUGGGCGCAAGCCUGAUGCAGCAACGCCGCGUGAGGGACGACGGCCUUCGGGUUGUAAACCUCUUUUAGCAGGGAAGAAGCGAAAGUGACGGUACCUGCAGAAAAAGCACCGGCUAACUACGUGCCAGCAGCCGCGGUAAUACGUAGGGUGCAAGCGUUAUCCGGAAUUAUUGGGCGUAAAGAGCUCGUAGGCGGUCUGUCGCGUCUGCUGUGAAAACUGGAGGCUCAACCUCCAGCCUGCAGUGGGUACGGGCAGACUAGAGUGCGGUAGGGGAGAUUGGAAUUCCUGGUGUAGCGGUGGAAUGCGCAGAUAUCAGGAGGAACACCGAUGGCGAAGGCAGAUCUCUGGGCCGUAACUGACGCUGAGGAGCGAAAGCGUGGGGAGCGAACAGGAUUAGAAACCCGGGUAGUCC